rnacentral:misc_RNA from 1 species
UCGGAUCGUUUUAGAAACAUUCAGGGGCCAACAGUUUCAGGAUUGUUGAGCUCCAUUGGCGGGAUUUCGCCGUCUUCGUUUCUCUUUCUUCGCGGACGAACACGCGCCAGGGGCUGAGCGCUGUGCGAUGCAUCGACUUCACGUCAGGUGCGCGCCGGCAUGUCUCUCGUGUUAGGGGCUUGUAGCUCAGUUGGUUAGAGCGCGCGCUUGAUAAGCGUGAGGUCGGAAGUUCAAGUCUUCCCAGGCCCACCAUUUUGAUCGAGUGCGGAGCAUUCGUCUUCUGGUACGGGGCCAUAGCUCAGCUGGGAGAGCGCGUGCUUUGCAAGCAUGAGGUCGUCGGUUCGAUCCCGUCUGGCUCCACCAGAUGGAAUUGAAGCUCGAGAAUGCCUCGUUCAUUUCGUCCGCGAAACAUCACUUCGCACUCAUUGGUCCGGAUGGACGGUGGCGUGCGUGUUUUCUGACAUCGUAAAGAGGAGAUCGAUCCGAGUUUGGAUCUGCGAAGCAAUUCGCGGGUACCAUUCCUAAUCUCCAGAUCGUUUUCGGCGCUCGCGCAUCGCGGCUCAUCGCAAGAUGAGUGAGAUGAGCGAGUUGUAAAACGAUCUUUGUAGCGAAGCUUGACCGCCUCGCUAUCGGGCCGAUCUUACGAAGCAAGCUGGUCUUUCUAGUCAAUGUCCGGCUGCGCAAUCGCAUUCAUCGAGGAUGCGCGCUCGAGACUUCGGUCUUUGGGCAAUUGUGCAGACAACAUUCUGCCGAGUGUGUGGACAUUGAUAAUGAGAGCAAUCAAGUGCCUUAAGGGUGUUCGGUGGAUGCCUUGGCGCUGAGAGGCGAUGAAGGACGUGCUACGCUGCGAUAAGCCGUGGGGAGCUGCGAAGAAGCUUUGAUCCACGGAUUUCCAAUGGG